GAAGCGGCCGCCAGGAGCUGGUAUGGCGUGGCUUUGCACAUACCCAUUUUGCGACAGCAGACUACAGCCAGGAAACAGCAACCUUUCCUACCACAAGAAGCAAUGGAAGCAACCUCGUCAGAACUCAGGAAAAGUGUGCUGGGAGGCUAGUUGCUUUCCUUUGAAGCGCAAGCCGGAUGAGUGCCCUGAUCGGUGACAGCUGUCGCUAGCCUGUUCGUUUUGUCUUUGCGUAUGAGCAUGUAAUUAUGUUUCCAAGCCAAAUAUUAUGGCUCAUAAUAAAGAUCCCAAC